GAUGAAGAACGUAGCGAAAUGCGAUAAGUAAUGUGAAUUGCAGAAUUCAGUGAAUCAUCGAAUCUUUGAACGCACCUUGCACUCCUUGGUAUUCCGAGGAGUACGCCUGUUCGAGUGUUAUGAAGCUCUCAAAACGCAAUUGGCUUAAAACCUGAUUGUUGUUUUGGAUUUGAACUUUGCCGUGUUAUAACGGCUGGUUUUAAAAGUAUUAGCUGGUACUAGAACGAAUUGGUUCUACUCAACGUGAUAAUUAUCUGAUCGUUGAGGACAUUCCUUUCACGAGGAAUGGCCAUAGUAAAUUCAAUGGACUGCUUCUAAUCUGGCUUUAAUUCUUUAUUGGAUUAACCACUUUUCGAAUCUGACCUCGAAUCAGGUGGGACUACCCGCUGAACUUAAGCAUAUCAUAAGCGGAGGA
rnacentral:misc_RNA from 1 species